rnacentral:rRNA from 1 species
AGCGGCGGACGGGUGAGUAACACGUGGGUAACCUGCCCAAGAGACUGGGAUAACACCUGGAAACAGAUGCUAAUACCGGAUAACAACACUAGACGCAUGUCUAGAGCUUGAAAGAUGGUUCUGCUAUCACUCAUGGAUGGACCUGCGGUGCAUUAGCUAGUUGGUAAGGUAACGGCUUACCAAGGCAAUGAUGCAUAGCCGAGUUGAGAGACUGAUCGGCCACAUUGGGACUGAGACACGGCCCAAACUCCUACGGGAGGCAGCAGUAGGGAAUCUUCCACAAUGGACGAAAGUCUGAUGGAGCAACGCCGCGUGAGUGAAGAAGGGUUUCGGCUCGUAAAGCUCUGUUGGUAGUGAAGAAAGAUAGAGGUAGUAACUGGCCUUUAUUUGACGGUAAUUACUUAGAAAGUCACGGCUAACUACGUGCCAGCAGCCGCGGUAAUACGUAGGUGCCAAGCGUUGUCCGGAUUUAUUGGGCGUAAAGCGAGUGCAGGCGGUUCAAUAAGUCUGAUGUGAAAGCCUUCGGCUCAACCGGAGAAUCGCAUCAGAAACUGUUGAACUUGAGUGCAGAAGAGGAGAGUGGAACUCCAUGUGUAGCGGUGGAAUGCGUAGAUAUGUGGAAGAACACCAGUGGCGAAGGCGGCUCUCUGAUCUGCAACUGACGCUGAGGCUCGAAAGCAUGGGUAGCGAACAGGAUUAGAUACCCUGGUAGUCCAUGCCGUAAACGAUGAGUGCUAAGUGU